GUACACUCCUGCGGGAGGCAGCAGUGGGGAAUUUUGGACAAUGGGCGAAAGCCUGAUCCAGCCAUGCCGCGUGCAGGAUGAAGGCCUUCGGGUUGUAAACUGCUUUUGUACGGAACGAAACGGCCUUUUCUAAUAAAGAGGGCUAAUGACGGUACCGUAAGAAUAAGCACCGGCUAACUACGUGCCAGCAGCCGCGGUAAUACGUAGGGUGCAAGCGUUAAUCGGAAUUACUGGGCGUAAAGCGUGCGCAGGCGGUUAUGUAAGACAGUUGUGAAAUCCCCGGGCUCAACCUGGGAACUGCAUCUGUGACUGCAUAGCUAGAGUACGGUAGAGGGGGAUGGAAUUCCGCGUGUAGCAGUGAAAUGCGUAGAUAUGCGGAGGAACACCGAUGGCGAAGGCAAUCCCCUGGACCUGUACUGACGCUCAUGCACGAAAGCGUGGGGAGCAAACAGGAUUAGAAACCCUAGUAGUCCCAUGAU
rnacentral:rRNA from 1 species